AGCUGAGCAAUCAACUCAACCGUGGCCAAUCGCUGUUACAAAGUGAAUUGUACCGGACCGGUCCUGUGUUGUUAUCGCUAAUGAACUAGCUCAAGCUCUGGUAUGCAGCACAAACAAAAUUCGACCUUGGCUUUGUUCCGUGGCUUAUAUAAGUCUGGCACAGUUCGGGCGCAAGUCUGCCGGUGCUUGGUGAGUUGCGGUUGCGGCAACACUGACCGUCACGUCCGUGAUAUCCCACAAAAGCUGAGCAAUCAACUCAACCGUGGCCAAUCGCUGUUACAAAGUGAAUUGUACCGGACCGGUCCUGUGUUGUUAUCGCUAAUGAACUAGCUCAAGCUCUGGUAUGCAGCACAAACAAAAUUCGACCUUGGCUUUGUUCCGUGGCUUAUAUAAGUCUGGCACAGUUCGGGCGCAAGUCUGCCGGUGCUUGGUGAGUUGCGGUUGCGGCAACACUGACCGUCACGUCCGUGAUAUCCCACAAAAGCUGAGCAAUCAACUCAACCGUGGCCAAUCGCUGUUACAAAGUGAAUCGUAAAAUUUGUUGAAAAAACACUCAUAGAUUUGACAUCAUCUUCUAUUUGUAUAAUAAAACGUGAAAAAUAAGUUAUGUUCACAAUAGUCAGGCCCAGCAUUGCACCAGUCACAUGGUCGCCGCGGCCUGACGAUUUGAUUAUAUUAAUUAUUAUUAUUAAUCAAUUUUUUUUUAUAGCUAUGUAUUUUUUGCAUCAGAAAAACCGAUGUUUUAUAAACUCACUAUGGCAAAUGUUGCGUUUCCAGCGUUGCGUUUCAAAUAAUAGAAGGGGAACGCUAAAAAAAUGGGACGGCGAUGAACACCGUCCUUGGGGGUUUACCUCUAAUUCAUGUACUUAGUCCAAGAUCACUAUUUCAUAAUAUUUUUAUUAUAAUAACUCCUUAGGAAUUUAUACUA